AUUGAACGCUGGCGGCAUGCCUUACACAUGCAAGUCGAACGGUAACAGGUUAAGCUGUCGCGUGGCGAACGGGUGAGUAAUGUAUCGGAACGUGCCACGUCGUGGGGGAUAACUGCUCGAAGGAGCAGCUAAUACAGCAUACGCCCUGAGGGCGAAAGAGGGGGAUCGCAAGACCUCGCGUGAUUGGAGCGGCCGAUAUCAGAUUAGGUAGUUGGUGAGGUAAAGGCUCACCAAGCCGACGAUCUGUAGCUGGUCUGAGAGGACGACCAGCCACACUGGGACUGAGACACGGCCCAGACUCCUACGGGAGGCAGCAGUGGGGAAUAUUGGACAAUGGGCGCAAGCCUGAUCCAGCCAUGCCGCGUGCGGGAAGAAGGCCUUCGGGUUGUAAACCGCUUUUGUCAGGGAAGAAAAGGAGCUGGCUAAUACCUGGGACUCAUGACGGUACCUGAAGAAUAAGCACCGGCUAACUACGUG
rnacentral:rRNA from 1 species